CGAGGAUAUACCAUGAUAUUGGAGAUAAGAAUCGUAAAUACUAUUCGUCUAAACACUGAAUUGGAGAAUAUUUGCGCGACACUUGGCGUGUAAAAUCAUAAUGGGGGUUCAAAAUCUAUUUAUAUUAGUUGCAUGGAUUUUAUUCAUUACUCAAGCUUGUUCGGUUGAUGGUCGAACUCUGGCUGAAUGUCUACUAGAUGUACAACAAGGAGACUGUCCGCAGUAUUCUCACAUAACCAUUUGUACCAACGACGGAAAGGUUCAUAACGGUGCUUGUGAUUACCAGAGGGCUAUUUGUGAUGCAUUUUAUGUUCACAAUGACUCUCUAUCAGCGGUAGGGAUUGGUUCAAACGGCGUGUGUCAUAGUAUUAUCAUGGGGUGAUAUCUGAGUUACUGUUAUCUAUUCAUAAAUGUACCUUUCCCUUUGUACAAGGCAAUAAUUCACUUCAGUUAUAAUUGCUUAAUAAUUUCAUUUACUUUAACACUUUGAUUUUAUUGACUCCCUCAUAUUGAAGUUUUACUCUGUGACAUAUAUCACUCGUGCUUAAGUGCUAAUUUCUACUGUUUUCAAUUCUUAUUUAUAUUGUGCUAUACAUCAUUGUCGGGAGAGGGGAAUUCAAAUAAAGUGCUU